UAUGUUGGACAACGUGGAUAGC
rnacentral:miRNA from 1 species